AAGCUUGCUUGUUGGGGUUGUAGGACACUCUAUACGGAGUUACAAAGGACGACAUUAGACGAAUCAUCUGGAAAGAUGAAUCAAAGAAGGUAAUAAUCCUGUAGUCGAAAAUGUUGUCUCUCUUGAGUGGAUCCUGAGUACGACGGAGCACGUGAAAUUCCGUCGGAAUCUGGGAGGACCAUCUCCUAAGGCUAAAUACUCUCUAGUGACCGAUAGUGAACCAGUACCGUGAGGGAAAGGUGAAAAGCACCCCGGAAGGGGAGUGAAAUAGAACCUGAAACCGUGUGCUUACAAGUAGUCAGAGCCCGUUAAUGGGUGAUGGCGUGCCUUUUGUAGAAUGAACCGGCGAGUUACGAUUUGAUGCAAGGUUAAGCAGUAAAUGUGGAGCCGUAGCGAAAGCGAGUCUGAAUAGGGCGUUUAGUAUUUGGUCGUAGACCCGAAACCAGGUGAUCUACCCUUGGUCAGGUUGAAGUUCAGGUAACACUGAAUGGAGGACCGAACCGACUUACGUUGAAAAGUGAGCGGAUGAACUGAGGGUAGCGGAGAAAUUCCAAUCGAACCUGGAGAUAGCUGGUUCUCUCCGAAAUAGCUUUAGGGCUAGCCUCAAGUGAUGAUUAUUGGAGGUAGAGCACUGUUUGGACGAGGGGCCCCUCUCGGGUUACCGAAUUCAGACAAACUCCGAAUGCCAAUUAAUUUAACUUGGGAGUCAGAACAUGGGUGAUAAGGUCCGUGUUCGAAAGGGAAACAGCCCAGACCACCAGCUAAGGUCCCAAAAUAUAUGUUAAGUGGAAAAGGAUGUGGCGUUGCCCAGACAACUAGGAUGUUGGCUUAGAAGCAGCCAUCAUUUAAAGAGUGCGUAAUAGCUCACUAGUCGAGUGACACUGCGCCGAAAAUGUACCGGGGCUAAACAUAUUACCGAAGCUGUGGAUUGUCCUUUGGACAAUGGUAGGAGAGCGUUCUAAGGGCGUUGAAGCAUGAUCGUAAGGACAUGUGGAGCGCUUAGAAGUGAGAAUGCCGGUGUGAGUAGCGAAAGACGGGUGAGAAUCCCGUCCACCGAUUGACUAAGGUUUCCAGAGGAAGGCUCGUCCGCUCUGGGUUAGUCGGGUCCUAAGCUGAGGCCGACAGGCGUAGGCGAUGGAUAACAGGUUGAUAUUCCUGUACCACCUAUAAUCGUUUUAAUCGAUGGGGGGACGCAGUAGGAUAGGCGAAGCGUGCGAUUGGAUUGCACGUCUAAGCAGUAAGGCUGAGUAUUAGGCAAAUCCGGUACUCGUUAAGGCUGAGCUGUGAUGGGGAGAAGACAUUGU
rnacentral:rRNA from 1 species